rnacentral:rRNA from 1 species
AGUGAACGCUGGCGGUAGGCCUAACACAUGCAAGUCGAACGGCAGCACAGUAAGAGCUUGCUCUUACGGGUGGCGAGUGGCGGACGGGUGAGGAAUACAUCGGAAUCUACUUUUUCGUGGGGGAUAACGUAGGGAAACUUACGCUAAUACCGCAUACGACCUACGGGUGAAAGCAGGGGAUCUUCGGACCUUGCGCGAUUGAAUGAGCCGAUGUCGGAUUAGCUAGUUGGCGGGGUAAAGGCCCACCAAGGCGACGAUCCGUAGCUGGUCUGAGAGGAUGAUCAGCCACACUGGAACUGAGACACGGCCCAGACUCUGACGGAAGGCAGAAGGGGGGAAAUUUGGAAAAGGGGGGCAAGCCUGAUCCAGCCAUACCGCGUGGGUGAAGAAGCCCUUCGGGUUGUAAAGCCCUUUUGUUGGGAAAGAAAGCCAUCAGGUUAAUACCCGCCUGUUCGGACGUUACCAAAAGAAAAGGCACCGGCUAAUUUCGU